GCCCGGUUAGCUCAAUCGGUAGAGCGUGAGACUCUUAAUCUCAAGGUUGCGGGUAAGUUAUCAGUCACCGGUUC